GCGGGUGUAGUUUAGUGGUAAAAG
rnacentral:tRNA from 1 species